rfam:Ferroglobus placidus DSM 10642, complete genome.
GGGCUCGUGGUCUAGCGGUUAUGACGCCGCCCUUACGAGGCGGAGAUCGCCGGUUCGAAUCCGGCCGAGCCCA